rnacentral:rRNA from 1 species
GACGAACCGUGCGAACGUUGUUCAGAAUCACUGGGCUCAAAGGGCGCGUAGGCGGACAGUCAAGUCAGGGGUGAAAUCCCACGGCUCAACCGUGGAAGUGCCUUUGAUACUGACAGUCUCGAGGGAGGUAGGGGCGUGCGGAACUUCCGGUGGAGCGGUGAAAUGCGUAGAUAUCGGAAGGAACGCCGGUGGCGAAAGCGGCGCGCUGGACCUCUUCUGACGCUGAGGCGCGAAAGCUAGGGGAGCAAACGGG